CCAAAGCCUGAAGCAGGGGAUAUCAAAUAUAUGACGUGGUGAAACAAGAAAAAAAAUUCUACCGAAUACCAUCAAGGAUCCCAAUAUCCUCUAUGCUGUCCACUCUACACCAUGAUGAACCAGCAGCUCUGAGGAAGCAGCCAGUGGACAUAUGCAUCAGCUCCUGAUCAACAAGCCAACCAGCACCCUGGCAGCUCUGCAUCAAUCACAACAUCUGCUGCCUCCCAAAUUGCUGAGCCAAAGACAACAACGCCAAAACCAAUGAAAGGAUAAGUAAGAAGCUACUAUGGGGAGAGGAUG